rnacentral:rRNA from 1 species
ACGUAGGGUGCGAGCGUUGUCCGGAAUUACUGGGCGUAAAGAGCUCGUAGGCGGUUUGUCACGUCGUCUGUGAAAUCCUAGGGCUUAACCCUGGACGUGCAGGCGAUACGGGCUGACUUGAGUACUACAGGGGAGACUGGAAUUUCUGGUGUAGCGGUGGAAUGCACAGAUAUCAGGAAGAACACCGAUGGCGAAGGCAGGUCUCUGGGUAGUAACUGACGCUGAGGAGCGAAAGCAUGGGUAGCGAACAGG